AACGCACAUUGCGCUCCCUGGUAUUCCGGGGAGCAUGCCUGUUCGAGCGUCAUUAUCAACCAUCAAGCACUGCUUGGCAUUGGGCGCCGUCCUCAUGGGACGAGCCCUAAAGGCUUCGGCGAUGGUGUUGAAUCCAAGCGUAGUAAUAUACAGCUUCUAGGUUCGGCGUCGUUUAGCCUCGAGAAACAUACACAUAAGGUUGACCUCGGAUCAGGUAGGGAUACCCGCUGAACUUAA
rnacentral:misc_RNA from 1 species